UACGUAGGUGGCAAGCGUUGUCCGGAUUUACUGGGUGUAAAGGGCGUGUAGCCGGGUUGACAAGUCAGAUGUGAAAUCCUGCGGCUUAACCGCAGAACUGCAUUUGAAACUGUUGAUCUUGAGUACUGGAGAGGCAGACGGAAUUCCUAGUGUAGCGGUGAAAUGCGUAGAUAUCAGGAGGAACACCGGCGGCGAAGGCGGCCUGCUGGACCGCGACUGACGUUGAGGCUCGAAAGCGUGGGGAGCAAACAGG
rnacentral:rRNA from 1 species